AGUAUGGUGUUCAGAGACUUUUUGCUACAGCCAGGAAGCACCAGCUACUACCUCGGUACCUAGAAGUUGGAUUGUGGAAAUGGACCAUAAAUGUUCCUCUGAAAGAAGUAUAGGGAUGCCAAGAAGGCUGGUGCUGGAACCUCAUGCAAAUGUCAGGUAACCUGGGAUCCUUGGACUGGUAACCAGAUUGUGAGAUGUUGCCACCUUCUCCUGUGGG